rnacentral:tRNA from 1 species
UGGAGUUGUGGUUCAGUAGGUAGAGCACAUGCCUAGCAUGUAUGAGGCCCUGGGUUUGAUUCUCAGCACUAUAU